AUGACUUGGAGAUAGUUUACAUGC
rnacentral:piRNA from 1 species